UACAGAGGGGGCAAGCGUUGUUCGGAAUUACUGGGCGUAAAGGGCGCGUAGGCGGCCUUCUAAGUCGAACGUGAAAUCCCCGGGCUCAACCCGGGAACUGCGUCCGAUACUGGAAGGCUUGAAUCCGGGAGAGGGAUGCGGAAUUCCAGGUGUAGCGGUGAAAUGCGUAGAGAUCGGGAGGAACACCAGUGGCGAAGGCGGCCUUCUGGGCCUUUCCUGACGCUGAGACGCGAAAGCGUGGGGAGCGAACCGG
rnacentral:rRNA from 1 species